rnacentral:rRNA from 2 species
CUUGGUGGCAAUAGAGAGAGGGAAAUACCUGAUCCCAUACCGAACUCAGAAGUCAAGCCUCUCAUCGCCGAUGGUACUACACGCAAGAGUGUGGGAGAGUAGGUCGCCGCCAAGC